GAUGAACGCUGGCGGCGUGCCUAACACAUGCAAGUCGAACGAAGCAAUCAGAAAGAAGUUUUCGGAUGGAUUUCUGGUUGACUGAGUGGCGGACGGGUGAGUAACGCGUGGAUAACCUGCCUCACACUGGGGGAUAACAGUUAGAAAUGGCUGCUAAUACCGCAUAAGCGCACAGUACCGCAUGGUACGGUGUGAAAAACUCCGGUGGUGUGAGAUGGAUCCGCGUCUGAUUAGUUAGUUGGCGGGGUAACGGCCCACCAAGACAGCGAUCAGUAGCCGACCUGAGAGGGUGACCGGCCACAUUGGGACUGAGACACGGCCCAAACUCCUACGGGAGGCAGCAGUGGGGAAUAUUGCACAAUGGGCGAAAGCCUGAUGCAGCGACGCCGCGUGAGUGAAGAAGUAUUUCGGUAUGUAAAGCUCUAUCAGCAGGGAANAAAAUGACGGUACCUGACUAANAAGCCCCGGCUAACUACGUGCCAGCAGCCGCGGUUAUACGUAGGGGGCAAGCGUUAUCCGGAUUUACUGGGUGUAAAAGGGAGCGUANNCGGCGAAGCAAGUCUGGAGUGAAAACCCAGGGCUCAACCCUGGGNACUGCUUUGGAAACUGUUUUGCUANAGUGUCGGANAGGNNAGUGGAAUUCCUAANUGUAGCGGUGAA
rnacentral:rRNA from 1 species